rnacentral:rRNA from 1 species
GGUAUCGCCGUUAGUCAUGUGCAGAUAUGGAUAGCUGUUUUAGCCGUCUUUAUUGACUGGUUUAUAAGAGUUAUCAGAUAUCACUUUGAUUAAAUUAGAGUGCUUAAAGCAAGUGUGUUACUUGGAUAUAAAUGCAUGGAAUGAUGGAAUAUGUUGUUAUUCUAUUUGUUGGUUUUUGAAUGAUAAAAUGAUUGAAAGGAACUGUUGGGGGCAUUCGUAUUGUUGUGAGAGAGGUGAAAUUCUUAGACCACAGCAAGACGAACUACUGCGAAAGCAUUUGCCAAGAAUGUUUUCAUUGAUCAAGAACGAAAGUUAGAGGUUCGAAGGCGAUCAGAUACCGCCCUAGUUCUAACCAUAAACUAUGCCAACUAGCAAUUUGCUUUGUAUUUUUUAUGACUAAGUGAGAGGCCACGGGAAACCUAAGUAGGGUUAUGGGGGAAGUAUGGUUGCAAAGCUGAAACUUAAAGGAAUUGACGGAAGGGCACCACCAGGAGUGGAGCCUGCGGCUUAAUUUGACUCAACACGGGAAAACUUACCUGGUCCUGACACUAGAAGGAUUGACAGAUUGAUAGCUCUUUCUUGAUUUGGUGGAUGGUGGUGCAUGGCCGUUCUUAGUUGGUGGAGUGAUUUGUCUGGUUAAUUCCGAUAACGAACGAGACUCUAGCCUAUUAAAUAAUACACAGAAUUUUAUCUUCCGCGGUAUUUCUUAGUGGGAUCAAGCG